UGGCGGCCUUAGCGCGGUGGUCCCACCUGACCCCAUGCCGAACUCAGAAGUGAAACGCCGUAGCGCCGAUGGUAGCGAGAGUAGGGAACUGCCAGGCA
rnacentral:rRNA from 1 species